rnacentral:rRNA from 1 species
GAUGAACGCUGGCGGCGUGCCUAAUACAUGCAAGUCGAGCGAACAGAUAAGGAGCUUGCUCCUUUGACGUUAGCGGCGGACGGGUGAGUAACACGUGGGUAACCUACCUAUAAGACUGGGAUAACUUCGGGAAACCGGAGCUAAUACCGGAUAACAUUUGGAACCGCAUGGUUCUAAAGUGAAAGAUGGUUUUGCUAUCACUUAUAGAUGGACCCGCGCCGUAUUAGCUAGUUGGUAAGGUAACGGCUUACCAAGGCGACGAUACGUAGCCGACCUGAGAGGGUGAUCGGCCACACUGGAACUGAGACACGGUCCAGACGCCUACGGGAGGCAGCAGUAGGGAAUCUUCCGCAAUGGGCGAAAGCCUGACGGAGCAACGCCGCGUGAGUGAUGAAGGGUUUCGGCUCGUAAAACUCUGUUAUUAGGGAAGAACAAAUGUGUAAGUAACUGUGCACGUCUUGACGGUACCUAAUCAGAAAGCCACGGCUAACUACGUG